GAUGAACGCUGGCGGCGUGCCUAAUACAUGCAAGUCGAGCGAACGGACGAGAAGCUUGCUUCUCUGAUGUUAGCGGCGGACGGGUGAGUAACACGUGGAUAACCUACCUAUAAGACUGGGAUAACUUCGGGAAACCGUAGUUAAUUCCGGAUAAUAUUUUGAACCGCAUGGUUCAAAAGUGAAAGACGGUCUUGCUGUCACUUAUAGAUGGAUCCGCGCUGCAUUAGCUAGUUGGUAAGGUAACGGCUUACCAAGGCAACGAUGCAUAGCCGACCUGAGAGGGGGAUCGGCCACCCUGGACCUGAGACACGGUCCAGACUCCUACGGGAGGCAGCAGUAGGGAAUCUUCCGCAAUGGGCGGAAGCCUGACGGAGCAACGCCGCGUGAGUGAUGAAGGUCUUCGGAUCGUAAAACUCUGCUAUUAGGGAAGAACAUAUGUGUAAGUAACUGUGCACAUCUUGACGGUACCUAAUCAGAAAGCCACGGCUAACUACGUG
rnacentral:rRNA from 1 species